GGGAAGAGCUCAAAUUUAAAAUCUGGCGGUGUAUUCCGUCCGAGUUGUAAUUUGUAGAGGAUGCUUUUGAUGCGGUGCCUUCCGAGUUCCCUGGAACGGGACGCCAUAGAGGGUGAGAGCCCCGUCUGGUUGGAUGCCAAAUCUCUGUAAAGCUCCUUCAAC
rnacentral:rRNA from 1 species